rnacentral:pre_miRNA from 1 species
GUAGGAUGUUAGAGUUGAGGGGAAUGCUGUCUGGUUCGAGACCAUUCAUUCAUUCAUCUUUCCAGAUAUGAACGACCUCGGACCAGGCUUCAUUCCCCCCAACUUCCAACAUUUCAC